UUUGGUGGCGAUAGCGAAGAGGUCACACCCGUUCCCAUGCCGAACACGGAAGUUAAGCUCUUCAGCGCCGAUGGUAGUCGGGGGUUUCCCCCUGUGAGAGUAG
rnacentral:rRNA from 1 species